rnacentral:tRNA from 1 species
GGGGGUGUAGCUCAGUUGGGAGAGCGCCUGCUUUGCACGCAGAAUGUCGUCGGUUCGAUUCCGACCACUUCCACCA